GCCCAGACUCCUACGGGAGGCAGCAGUGGGGAAUAUUGCACAAUGGGGGAAACCCUGAUGCAGCGACGCCGCGUGAGCGAUGAAGUAUUUCGGUAUGUAAAGCUCUAUCAGCAGGGAAGAAGAUGACGGUACCUGACUAAGAAGCCCCGGCUAACUACGUGCCAGCAGCCGCGGUAAUACGUAGGGGGCAAGCGUUAUCCGGAUUUACUGGGUGUAAAGGGAGCGUAGACGGCGAUGCAAGCCAGAUGUGAAAGCCCGGGGCUCAACCCCGGGACUGCAUUUGGAACUGUGUGGCUGGAGUGUCGGAGAGGCAGGCGGAAUUCCUAGUGUAGCGGUGAAAUGCGUAGAUAUUAGGAGGAACACCAGUGGCGAAGGCGGCCUGCUGGACGAUGACUGACGUUGAGGCUCGAAAGCGUGGAGAGCAAACAGGAUUAGAUACCCGAGUAU
rnacentral:rRNA from 1 species